rnacentral:tRNA from 1 species
AGUCUUAUAUUCAAUUAUGAUGUAAAAUUGCAAAUUUUAAGGUGUAUAUAAUAUAUUUACUAAG